GAUAUCAUGAUAAGUUACCUUAUAUAUUUAUAAUGAGAGUUUUCAUAUGAGUAUGUGAUGGUUGUUGCAACCUGUAGCUCACGAUCUUGGGUUGGGAAUGUGAGACUUGGUACCAUUCUAUUUUUGCAAUAAGAAGUUGCUAAAACGGAUAUCACUUCUUGCCCACAUGUUUUCUCUCACAUGUAAUUUUUUCAUUGUUGGCUAUUAAUAAGAUUUCUCCAAGCAUGCGUCUACCCUGUUCUUGCAGCCUUACGAAUAACAGGUAGAACAUGUUUGCAUUUUCCUCCAAAUACUACCACUUUUCCACCAAAUGGUAAUAUAUUAUCCAUUAUAUCUAGCAUAGUACAAUCUAGUGCUUCAAUUGCAAGCUUUUAUGACAGUGGUGCUUUGUCCCGUAUAAUCAACUUAACUACUUGUAUCAUGAGAUAUUUUAAAUCUUAAUGUUCCAUGCGACCUCUAGGAAGUAUGGCUGCUACAACACCACAUGUUGCUGUGAAAUUGCGAUUGACGUAUGAGCUC
rnacentral:lncRNA from 1 species